GAUGAACGUUGGCGGUGUGCCUAAUACAUGCAAGUCGAACGGAGCUAAUAGCAAUAUUGGCUCAGUGGCGAACGGGUGAGUAACGCGUUGGUGAUCUGCCUUGAAGUGUGGAAUAACGUUUCGAAAGGAACGCUAAUACCGCAUGUGCUCUCGAUUUUCAGAAAGUUGAGAGUAAAGGAUUUAUUCGCUUCAAGAGGAGCCUGCGUCCCAUCAGCUGGUUGGUAGGGUAACGGCCUACCAAGGCUAUGACGGGUAGGGGACCUGAGAGGGUGGCCCCCCACAAUGGAACUGAAACACGGUCCAUACACCUACGGGUGGCAGCAGUAGGGAAUAUUGGUAAUCUGGGAAACCGGGAACCAGCAACGCCGCGUGCACGAUGAAGGCCUUCGGGUCGUAAAGUGCUUUUUGAAGGGAUGAGGAAGGACAGUACCUUCAGAAUAAGCCUCGGCUAACUACGUG
rnacentral:rRNA from 1 species